AACAGGAUUAGAUACCCUGGUAGUCCACGCCGUAAACGAUGUCGACUUGGAGGCUGUUCCCUUGAGGAGUGGCUUCCGGAGCUAACGCGUUAAGUCGACCGCCUGGGGAGUACGGCCGCAAGGUUAAAACUCAAAUGAAUUGACGGGGGCCCGCACAAGCGGUGGAGCAUGUGGUUUAAUUCGAUGCAACGCGAAGAACCUUACCUGGCCUUGACAUCCAGAGAACUUUCCAGAGAUGGAUUGGUGCCUUCGGGAACUCUGAGACAGGUGCUGCAUGGCUGUCGUCAGCUCGUGUUGUGAAAUGUUGGGUUAAGUCCCGCAACGAGCGCAACCCUUAUCCUUUGUUGCCAGCGAUUCGGUCGGGAACUCAAAGGAGACUGCCGGUGAUAAACCGGAGGAAGGUGGGGAUGACGUCAAGUCAUCAUGGCCCUUACGGCCAGGGCUACACACGUGCUACAAUGGCGCAUACAAAGAGAAGCGACCUCGCGAGAGCAAGCGGACCUCAUAAAGUGCGUCGUAGUCCGGAUCGGAGUCUGCAACUCGACUCCGUGAAGUCGGAAUCGCUAGUAAUCGUGGAUCAGAACGCCACGGUGAAUACGUUCCCGGGCCUUGUACACACCGCCCGUCACACCAUGGGAGUGGGUUGCAAAAGAAGUAGGUAGCUUAACCUCCGGGAGGGCGCUUACCACUUUGUGAUUCAUGACUGGGGUGAAGUCGUAACAAGGUAAC
rnacentral:rRNA from 1 species